GGGAGGCAGCAGUGGGGAAUAUUGCACAAUGGGCGAAAGCCUGAUGCAGCCAUGCCGCGUGUGUGAAGAAGGCCUUCGGGUUGUAAAGCACUUUCAGCGAGGAGGAAAGGUUAGUAGUUAAUAACUGCUAGCUGUGACGUUACUCGCAGAAGAAGCACCGGCUAACUUCGUGCCAGCAGCCGCGGUAAUACGAGGGGUGCAAGCGUUAAUCGGAAUUACUGGGCGUAAAGCGUGCGUAGGUGGUUUGUUAAGCAAGAUGUGAAAGCCCCGGGCUCAACCUGGGAACUGCAUUUUGAACUGGCAAGCUAGAGUUUUGUAGAGGGUAGUGGAAUUUCCAGUGUAGCGGUGAAAUGCGUAGAGAUUGGAAGGAACAUCAGUGGCGAAGGCGGCUACCUGGACAAAGACUGACACUGAGGCACGAAAGCGUGGGGAGCAAACAGGAUUAGAUACCCUGGUAGUCCACGCCGUAAACGAUGUCAACUAGCCGUCUGUAGCCUUGAGCUGUGGGUGGCGUAGCUAACGCGCUAAGUUGACCGCCUGGGGAGUACGGCCGCAAGGUUAAAACUCAAAUGAAUUGACGGGGACCCGCACAAAAGGG
rnacentral:rRNA from 1 species